rnacentral:tRNA from 1 species
GGCCUCGUAGCUCAGCCGGUAGAGCAUGCGCGUACAAAGCGUAGGCCGCGUCCAGGCGUGGAUUCGAAUCUCACCGAGGAUA